rnacentral:lncRNA from 1 species
GAGAACAUUAUCAGGGAGGCAAAGGCUGUUCCCCAUGACACCAGCAGUCCAUUCUCUGGACAUUCUAUUGUAUCCUGGAGAGCUCCUGGCAUCCCCUGUGAUGUCACCAGUGUUGUGGCAACAACAACUGCUCUUAGAGCAUUCCAUCAGUACUUCAGAGUUCAUCUCGAAUCAUGUUUUCAAUGCUGAGGAGCAGAGUAAGGUAGAAGGAAGCUGGACCUCCAUCUCAGUGCAAUCCAGCAAGGAAGAAGUGGUUCUGGGAAGACCCGCUCCUACCACAGGCCAACUACAUUUUAUGAGAAAUUGCAUUUGCAACAUAAGACACCAUGUCACAGCUGCAGACCUGAACAGGAAAACCACUGAGGCCUCCAAGAACUUGAAGAUGCUUGAGGAGGAGAUUGGCUUCUAUCGCAACCUGCACAGCCAGCUGAGGAUGGCCCAGGCUCAGCUGAAGAACAAGGUGAAUAUGCUGAAGCAGGAAAAUAGGAGAAUUUGGGGGCGAUGUGCCACACUGCAGCAGAACUUGGAGGAAUUGAAAAUGAUCUAUAAGAAUCAACUGGAGGACACCAGUGACCCCCAGACCCAGCAGCAGCAGGAUCCAGAAAGAACGGAGGAAUUGCUGCAGGACAGUCACAAGCAGAAGAAGCUGGGCAUCCAAGAGAAGAAUUUAGCAGAAAAACAGCAGUAUUACUUUGAGGUGCGCCGGAAGAGCCACCUGUACAGCUGCUUCCUGACAGAGCUGAAUCAGUUGAAGAAGAAGCUGGAAAUGCUGAGUCAGGAAAACAAGGAAAUGCAGGGGGAUUGUGCCCUACUACAGCAUCACGUGGAGGACUUGAAACCAAUCUAUAAGAAGCAACAGGAGGAGGACAGUGACCUCCAGACCCAGCACCAAAAGCACAUGGAAAGGAUGGAGGAAAAGCUGCAGUACAUGCUGAAGAAGAAGAAUAUGGCCAUCAAGCAAAGGGAGUUGGCAGAAAAGCUGAAGUACCAAUUUGAGGUCCUGCAAAUGAGGUUUGAUAAAUUGCAGCAAGAGAUGGAACUGGCCAUAGCCCAGGAAGAGAGAGUCCUGCAGAAAGACCUGCUACAUCAGGAGCCCCCUGCUGAGCCCCAUCCCCAGAAACCACAGGAUCCCUUGGGUGGGUUUGCUUUAACAUAGUGUAUUUCCUCAGUGUGAAUAGGCCCUGAUUUUAUGGAGCCCAUGAGCCACCAGCCUUCUUCUGGGUCUGCUUCCCUUUGAUUUUCUAACAACUCCCCUUGAGAGAACUGAGGUGACUACCCUGUCACUGUGUCCAAGACCAGAGAUAAGCUGUAGGUUUGUGAUGCUAAAUCUGUAGUGAGAGAAUGGUGCUUAGCAUAAUUUUGUGUUUGGUUUUCUGUUUGGAGUUUUGCUCUUAGAUGUUUUGGUUUUCUUAUUGAUAUGCUAUUUGUUCUUAUUAUUUUUCAAAAAUUGCUAGCAUCAUUCACUGUUUAUACUGACUUCUGUUUUUAAUGCCCAUUAAGAGAAUGUUUUAUGAAUAAUAAACUUUUGUAACUCUUCACUUUGG